rnacentral:ncRNA from 1 species
UGGUGACUUCGGGGGUAAAAGGGAAUGGGGUGAAAGGCCCCGCGCGAUCCGGCGCUGUAAGUGCUGAGAGGCCCGUCCGUUGGCGAGAGCCGGUCAUUGGGGAAACCUGAGAAGGCAGGACGGCGCUUUGCUUGAGGCACAAGUCAGAAGACCGACA